GAUGAACGCUAGCGGCAGGCUUAAUACAUGCAAGUCGAGGGGCAGCAUGAGUGUAGCAAUACAUUUGAUGGCGACCGGCAAACGGGUGCGGAACACGUACACAACCUUCCUAUAAGUGGGGAAUAGCCCAGAGAAAUUUGGAUUAAUACCCCGUAACAUAAUGAUGUGGCAUCACAUUAUUAUUAUAGCUACGGCGCUUAUUGAUGGGUGUGCGGCUGAUUAGAUAGUUGGCGGGGUAACGGCCCACCAAGUCUACGAUCAGUAGCUGAUGUGAGAGCAUGAUCAGCCACACGGGCACUGAGACACGGGCCCGACUCCUACGGGAGGCAGCAGUAAGGAAUAUUGGUCAAUGGACGCAAGUCUGAACCAGCCAUGCCGCGUGAAGGAUUAAGGUCCUCUGGAUUGUAAACUUCUUUUAUCUGGGACGAAAAAAGGCGAUUCUUCGUCACUUGACGGUACCAGAUGAAUAAGCACCGGCUAACUCCGUGCCAGCCGCCGCCGUAA
rnacentral:rRNA from 1 species